GGAAUCUUCCGCAAUGGGGGAAAGCCUGACGGAGCAACGCCGCGUGGGGGAUGAAGCCUUUCGGGGUGUAAACCUCUUUUCUCGGGGACGAAGAUCUGACGGUACCCGAGGAAUAAGGACCGGCUAACUACGUGCCAGCAGCCGCGGUAAUACGUAGGGUCCGAGCGUUGUCCGGAGUUAACUGGGCGUAAAGCGCGCGCAGGUGGCGUCGCAAGUCUGGCGUGAAAGCCCCCGGCUCAACCGGGGAGGGUCGUCGGAUACUGCGGUGCUUGAGGGAGGCAGGGGUCGGUGGAAUGCCCGGUGUAGUGGUGAAAUGCGUAGAGAUCGGGCGGAACACCCGUGGCGAAGGCGGCCGACUGGGCCUAACCUGACACUGAGGCGCGAAGGCGUGGGGAGCGAACGGGAUUAGAUACCCCGGUAGUCCACGCAGUAAACGAUGCAGACUGGGCGUGGGGGGACUUGACCCCCUCCGUGCCGGAGCCAACGCGUGAAGUCUGCCGCCUGGGGAGUACGGCCGCAAGGCUAAAACUCAAAGGAAUUGACGG
rnacentral:rRNA from 1 species